UGUGACCAUAAUUUAAAUAAGGAUAUAGGGCCUUUGGCUUUGCGGCCUUAGGUUUGACCCUAGAGUGUUUGGGUGGCUCAUAAAAAAGUCAUUUUCUCUCAUUUCUGCUUACACGUAGAGUAAGGAAGCCAUCUUGCUUCUGUCUAUGUUAUUAGCUAGAAUUUUUGGAAAAGCUAUAUCAUAUUUACUAGGUACACAUUUAGAAUUCACAGGAGUUGUUAAAAGAAUUUCAUUUUCAAGUUUUUUAUUUUUUUCUUCUGAGAGCAAGAUUUUGUUUUUUUC
rnacentral:lncRNA from 1 species